rnacentral:sRNA from 1 species
UAGGUAUAAUCAACUUGGUGGUGUU